GGGUGAGUAUAAUGUGGGUAUCUGCCCUUUGGUUUGGAAUAACACGAGGAAACUUGUGCUAAUACCGAAUAAGCCUUCACAGGGAAAGCUUUAGCGCCAAAGGAUGAGUCCGCACUUGAUUAGCUAGUUGGUAAGGUAAUGGCUUACCAAGGCUACGAUCAAUAGCUGUUCUUAGAGGAAGAUCAGCCACAUUGGGACUGAGACACGGCCCAAACUCNUACGGGAGGCAGCAGUGGGGAGUCUUGCACAAUGGGGGAAACCCUGAUGCAGCGAUGCCGCGUGAGUGAAGAAGGCCUUUGGGUUGUAAAGCUCUUUCGUCGGGGAAGAAAAUGACUGUACCCGAAUAAGAAGGUCCGGCUAACUUCGUGCCAGCAGCCGCGGUAAUACGAAGGGACCUAGCGUAGUUCGGAAUUACUGGGCUUAAAGAGCACGUAGGUGGUUGGAAAAGUUGGUGGUGAAAUCCCAAGGCUUAACCUUGGAACUGCCAUCAAAACUUUUUAACUAGAGUAUGAUUGAGGUAAGCGGAAUUUCUAGUGUAGAGGUGAAAUUCGUAGAUAUUAGAAAGAACACCAAUUGCGAAGGCAGCUUUCUGGAUCAUUACUGACACUGAGGUGCGAAAGCAUGGGUAGCGAAGAGGAUUAGAUACCCUCGUAGUCCAUGCCGUAAACGAUGUGUGCUAGACGUNGGAAAUUUAUU
rnacentral:rRNA from 1 species